GCCGCUAUGGAGAAAUUGGUAGACUCGAGAGAUUCAAAAUCUCUUGCUCUUUGAGCGUGUCGGUUCGAGUCCGACUAGCGGUACCA
rnacentral:tRNA from 1 species